CCCUGCAGUUGUUGUCUGGUUUCCCACUUAAGCUAAGCAGGGUUGAGACUGGGCAGUACCUGGAUGGGAGACCUCCUGGGGGAAAACUAAGGUUGCUACUGGAA
rnacentral:rRNA from 1 species